CGCUGGCGGCGUGGAUUAGGCAUGCAAGUCGAGCGAGAACCGUUGUCAUAGCAAUAUGGCAUGGGGACAGCGGCGAAAGGGUGAGUAAUGCAUAGACAACCUACCUCUCUAUCUGGGAUAACCUCGGGAAGCUGGGACUAAUACCGGAUAGCCUUGUGGGGCCGCAUGGCCACUGCAAGUAAAGAUAGCCUCUCAGUGAAGCUUUCGUAGAGAGAGGGGUCUAUGUCCUAUUAGCUAGUUGGUGAGGUAACGGCUCACCAAGGC
rnacentral:rRNA from 1 species